rnacentral:rRNA from 1 species
UGCCAGCCGCCGCGGUAAUACGGAGGGAUCUAGCGUUAUUCGGAAUUACUGGGCGUAAAGCGAGCGUAGGCUGAUUUGUAAGUUGGAUGUGAAAUCCCAGAGCUUAACUCUGGAACUGCCUUUAAAACUGUUAGUCUUGAGAUCGAGAGAGGUGAGUGGAAUUCCAAGUGUAGAGGUGAAAUUCGUAGAUAUUUGGAGGAACACCAGUGGCGAAGGCGGCUCACUGGCUCGAUACUGACGCUGAGGUACGAAAGUGUGGGGAGCAAACAGGAUUAGAUA